UACGAGGUCCCAAGCGUUAUCCGGAUUUAUUGGGUUUAAAGGGUGCGUAGGCGGGCUAUUAAGUCAGUGGUGAAAACCCCAAGCUUAACUUGGGAACUGCCAUUGAUACUGAUGGUCUUGAGUACAUUUGAGGUGGGCGGAAUGUGUCAUGUAGCGGUGAAAUGCUUAGAUAUGACACAGAACACCGAUUGCGAAGGCAGCUCACUAAACUGUAACUGACGCUGAGGCACGAAAGCGUGGGGAGCAAACAGGG
rnacentral:rRNA from 1 species